AUACAGAGGGUGCAAGCGUUAAUCGGAUUUACUGGGCGUAAAGCGCGCGUAGGUGGCUAAUUAAGUCAAAUGUGAAAUCCCCGAGCUUAACUUGGGAAUUGCAUUCGAUACUGGUUAGCUAGAGUAUGGGAGAGGAUGGUAGAAUUCCAGGUGUAGCGGUGAAAUGCGUAGAGAUCUGGAGGAAUACCGAUGGCGAAGGCAGCCAUCUGGCCGAAUCCUGACACGGAGGUGCGAAAGCAUGGGGAGCAAACAGGAUUAGAUACCCGGGGAGUCCAUGCCGUAAACGAGGUCUACUAGCCGUUGGGGCCCUUGAGGCUUUAGUGGCGCAGCUAACGCGAUAAGUAGACCGCCUGGGGAGUACGGUCGCAAGACUAAAACUCAAAUGAAUUGGCGGGG
rnacentral:rRNA from 1 species